UACAGAGGGUGCUAGCGUUGUUCGGAAUUAUUGGGCGUAAAGCGCGUGUAGGCGGCCAAGUAAGUCGGGUGUGAAAGCCCUCGGCUUAACCGAGGAAGUGCGCCCGAAACUACUUGGCUUGAGUACCGGAGAGGGUGGCGGAAUUCCCGGUGUAGAGGUGAAAUUCGUAGAUAUCGGGAGGGAACACCAGUGGCGAAGGCGGCC
rnacentral:rRNA from 1 species